rnacentral:rRNA from 1 species
UUAGAGUUUGAUCCUGGCUCAGAUUGAACUCUGGCGGCAUGCCUUACACAUGCAAGUCGAACGGCAGCACGGACUUCGGUCUGGUGGCGAGUGGCGAACGGGUGAGUAAUACAUCGGAACGUGCCUAGUAGUGGGGGAUAACUACUCGAAAGAGUAGCUAAUACCGCAUGAGAUCUACGGAUGAAAGCAGGGGAUCGCAAGACCUUGUGCUACUGGAGCGGCCGAUGGCAGAUUAGGUAGUUGGUGGGAUAAAAGCUUACCAAGCCGACGAUCUGUAGCUGGUCUGAGAGGACGAUCAGCCACACUGGGACUGAGACACGGCCCAGACUCCUACGGGAGGCAGCAGUGGGGAAUUUUGGACAAUGGGCGCAAGCCUGAUCCAGCCAUACCGCGUGGGUGAAGAAGGCCUUCGGGUUGUAAAGCCCUUUUGUUGGGAAAGAAAAGCAGUCGGCUAAUACCCGAUUGUUCUGACGGUACCCAAAGAAUAAGCACCGGCUAACUUCGUGCCAGCAGCCGCGGUAAUACGAAGGGUGCAAGCGUUACUCGGAAUUACUGGGCGUAAAGCGUGCGUAGGUGGUUGGUUAAGUCUGUCGUGAAAGCCCUGGGCUCAACCUGGGAACUGCGAUGGAAACUGGUCAACUAGAGUGUGGUAGAGGGUAGCGGAAUUCCUGGUGUAGCAGUGAAAUGCGUAGAUAUCAGGAGGAACACCGGUGGCGAAGGCGGUUCUCUGGGCAUUACCUGACGCUGAGGAGCGAAAGUGUGGGGAGCGAACAGGAUUAGAUACCCUGGUAGUCCACACCGUAAACG